UACAGAGGUGGCAAGCGUUGCUCGGAAUCACUGGGCGUAAAGGGUGCGUAGGCGGGUCUUUAAGUCAGGGGUGAAAUCCUGGAGCUCAACUCCAGAACUGCCUUUGAUACUGAAGAUCUUGAGUUCGGGAGAGGUGAGUGGAACUGCGAGUGUAGAGGUGAAAUUCGUAGAUAUUCGCAAGAACACCAGUGGCGAAGGCGGCUCACUGGCCCGGUACUGACGCUGAGGUGCGAAAGCGUGGGGAGCAAACAGG
rnacentral:rRNA from 1 species